AUUGAACGCUGGCGGCAUGCCUUACACAUGCAAGUCGAACGGCAGCGGGGACUUCGGUCCGCCGGCGAGUGGCGAACGGGUGAGUAAUGUAUCGGAACGUACCUUUCAGUGGGGGAUAACGUAGCGAAAGUUACGCUAAUACCGCAUAUUCUCUGAGGAGGAAAGCAGGGGACCUUCGGGCCUUGUGCUGAUGGAGCGGCCGAUAUCAGAUUAGCUAGUUGGUGAGGUAAAGGCUCACCAAGGCGACGAUCUGUAGCGGGUCUGAGAGGAUGAUCCGCCACACUGGGACUGAGACACGGCCCAGACUCCUACGGGAGGCAGCAGUGGGGAAUUUUGGACAAUGGGCGCAAGCCUGAUCCAGCCAUGCCGCGUGAGUGAAGAAGGCCUUCGGGUUGUAAAGCUCUUUCGGACGGGAAGAAAUUGGUGGGGCUAAUAUCCCCAUCGGAUGACGGUACCGUAAUAAGAAGCACCGGCUAACUACGUGCCAGCCGCCGCGGUAACAC
rnacentral:rRNA from 1 species